rnacentral:rRNA from 1 species
UCAGGCCUAACACAUGCAAGUCGCGGGAGAAUCCCGGUCUUCGGACCGGGAGGAGACGGCGGAUGGGUGAGUAAGGCGCAGGCAACCUGCCUGGAGGACGGGGAUAACCUCGCGAAAGCGGGGCUAAUACCCGAUGAUGUGGCGGCCUCGCAUGGGGCGGCCAUCAAAGGCUUCGGUCACCUUCAGAUGGGCCUGCGUGCCAUUAGCUGGUUGGUGGGGUAACGGCCCACCAAGGCGAUGAUGGCUAGGGGGUCUGAGAGGAUGAUCCCCCACACUGGGACUGAGACACGGCCCAGACUCCUACGGGAGGCAGCAGUGAGGAAUCUUGCGCAAUGGGGGCAACCCUGACGCAGCCACGCCGCGUGCCGGAAGACGGCCCUAUGGGUUGUAAACGGCUUUUGGACGGGAAGAACCCCGGAGUUCGACUUCGGCUGACGCCGU